UAGGGAAUCUUCGGCAAUGGACGGAANNNUGGACCGAGCAACGCCGCGUGAGUGAAGAAGGUUUUCGGAUCGUAAAGCUCUGUUGUAAGAGAAGAACGAGUGUGAGAGUGGAAAGUUCACACUGUGACGGUAUCUUACCAGAAAGGGACGGCUAACUACGUGCCAGCAGCCGCGGUAAUACGUAGGUCCCGAGCGUUGUCCGGAUUUAUUGGGCGUAAAGCGAGCGCAGGCGGUUAGAUAAGUCUGAAGUUAAAGGCUGUGGCUUAACCAUAGUAGGCUUUGGAAACUGUUUAACUUGAGUGCAAGAGGGGAGAGUGGAAUUCCAUGUGUAGCGGUGAAAUGCGUAGAUAUAUGGAGGAACACCGGUGGCGAAAGCGGCUCUCUGGCUUGUAACUGACGCUGAGGCUCGAAAGCGUGGGGAGCAAACAGGAUUAGAUACUCUGGUAGUCCACGCUGUAAACGAUGAGUGCUAGGUGUUAGACCCUUUCCGGGGUUUAGUGCCGUAGCUAACGCAUUAAGCACUCCGCCUGGGGAGUACGACCGCAAGUUG
rnacentral:rRNA from 1 species